rnacentral:rRNA from 1 species
GACGAACGCUGGCGGCGUGCUUAACACAUGCAAGUCGAACGGAAAGGCCUCUUUCGGGGGGUACUCGAGUGGCGAACGGGUGAGUAACACGUGAGUAACCUGCCCUCGACUUUGGGAUAACUUCAGGAAACUGGGGCUAAUAUCGGAUAGGAGCUCCUGCUGCACGGUGGGGGUUGGAAAGUUUCGGCGGUUGGGGAUGGACUCGCGGCUUAUCAGCUUGUUGGUGGGGUAGUGGCUUACCAAGGCUUUGACGGGUAGCCGGCCUGGGAGGGUGACCGGCCACAUUGGGGCUGAGAUACGGCCCAGACUCCUACGGGAGGCAGCAGUGGGGAAUAUUGCACAAUGGGUGGAGGCCUGAUGCAGCAACGCCGUGUGCGGGAUGACGGCCUUCGGGUUGUAAACCGCUUUCGCUCAUGACGAAGCUUUGUGUGACGGUAGUGGGUAAAGAAGCACCGGCUAACUACGUG